UGCGAGACGGAACUACAAGCCCCAGAAUGAGCCGCGGUGAAGGGAGUGGGGGAGGCGGCGCCGGCGCCAUUUUGAGAGCCAGGGUUCGCCUUCCACUCCCCUCCCCCACCGGCGGCCGAGGGUGCGCUGCUCGCCGGGGCGGCGGAAGACGGGUUGGUGGGCGUUCGUGUCUUGAGAUGCUUCAUGCUGAAAGUAGAAUAAGGCUCUUGGAGUGUCAGGAUGAAAUCACAGCUGAACCAUGUUCUAAAAAGAUGAAGUCAACAGAAGGGGCUUUUGAGAAGCUCUCUGACUGUGGCAACCAAGGCAUUCAAGAAGAAGGGGGCCCUGACAGAGCAUCUAAUGAUUUGAUACCGGUGUGCGUUUCAGAUAAUGAAGGGGAAUAUGAAGUGCAGAAGCAAGAGAAAAUACCUGUGAAUGUCUUGGGAACAGCUAAUGAAGUGCUUCCAGAAGGUAAUCUAGAAUUUAGUCAGGCAGUUGAUUCAGUGAUUGUGCAGAACAUAAGUCCUCCAUUUGUAUCAAUAAAUGACGCUAAAGAUGAAGAAGAGAAAGAUCCUCUUACUACAAAUGAUGUCAAUGAAGAUAAUACUAAUAAUAGUUGUAAAGCAUUCUCAGUAAAUAGAAAUGAGUCGGAUGAAGAGUUUAUUACAAGCAAAGAAUUUAUUGGACCGAUUUACAAGCCUGCCGAAAGUAAUGAGCAGGAGCAGUCUGGGAGCUGUGAUGAGUAUCAACACAGCGUGGGAGAUGGAAUGCAUGAAAAUAGAACUAGAGGAACUGAGACAAAAAAGGUGCAAGCUAUUUCUUCUGCUGUAUCAGGAAUGGAUGAUGAACUGGACCAGUUCUACAAAGAAAUUCACCAGCUGGAAAGUGAAAAUUUAAAUAUGCUUCAGGAAAAAGAAACUGAAACUUCUCAGGAACAAUAUUCUCUGUAUAACUGCAGUCAGACAUCACAAGAGGAUUAUCAAUGUGUGUUGCUGAACAGCCCACAACCAUUUUAUGAGAAUGAACAGUAUUUCUCUGGGGAUCAGGGAAGUCAGAAAAUAAGCAAUGAGCAGCAGUUUGUCAUGGAAACAAGUGGCUGGAAAACUGAAAAUGCCUUUAAUGGACAAAUGGAGUCUAGUUAUUCUGUGCCUGAAUUCAGACCUGCCUGGCAGUCAGGGGAGUCUUUCAUAGUACCUCAGGGGCCUCCUCCUCCUAGACUGAACCAUCAGUCAUGUUUUCAGAUACUUAAUUCCCCACAGCAAAAAACAAAUGCUUUUCCUUCUCAGAAUGAUGAACUUUCUUAUGAAAAUUGCUAUGGUUACCAUGGAAAUCGUGAUAUCAACUGUCGUGGUCCAUUGCAUGAUCCGAGUAGCAGUAUUGUUGGUCAUACUGAUUUCCAUAGUACUCAGGUCUUCAGAAAUGGAAAUAAUGAUCAGAGUGGACUCCAAAGUAAUGGUUUCUGUGAAACCAGAGAAGAGUAUUGGGAAGAACCAAAAGCUUACAGUGCAGAAGGAAUGCACAGAUUUUCUUCCCCACCUGAGGAGAGGUUUGAUUGUUCACAGAAAGUGCUCAUAAUCUUAAGAGGCCUACCUGGUUCUGGGAAGUCAACACUUUCUCGUGUUCUGCUUGGUUGUAGUCGUGAUGGCAUUGUACUCAGCACCGAUGAUUACUUCCGUCAGCAAGAUGGAUAUACGUAUAAUGCUGCUCAGCUGGGUGAUGCCCAUGACUGGAACCAGAAGAGAGCCAAACAGGCGAUGGAGCAGGGAAAAUCUCCAGUUAUAAUAGACAACACUAAUACUCAAGCCUGGGAGAUGAAACCAUAUGUGGAAGUGGCUCUAGAAAAGGGAUACAGAGUGGAAUUCCGUGAGCCAGAUACUUGGUGGAAAUUUGAUCCUGAAGAACUAGAAAAGAGGAAUAAGCAUGGGGUCACUCGUGAGAAGAUUGCUCAGAUGUUGGAACGAUACGAAUAUCAAAUAUCCAUACCUAUUGUCAUGAAUUCAGAGUUACCUCCUCACAAACACACACAGAGGCCACCUCUGCAGCGAAGACAUAGGGAGAGAAUUUUAAAGAAAAGCCAUGGGCAUCCCUUGACAAAAGUAAAGCAGAGGAAAAAGCGAAAAAGAAACAAAAAAAUGAAAAUCACAGAAAUCACGAAGCAAAAUGUAGGCGGAGCAGCUCAUCUCGUUCCAGGCAACCAGGAAACAUCUGAAAGUGAGGAGGAUGACUCGGAAGAGGAAAACGGAAAGUCCCUGUGUGCAUCUGGGGAAGGGCCCGAGGAUCCGACGGGAGGUUUUGAGGAGCAGCCGAAUGGUGAUAAGGGAAGCGGGACGGAAGCUGCGAGCUCCCCUGUCACGGAGAUCUCAGCCGUGUCCAAUGGGGCGCUGGCACAUGAAUUGCCUGUAGAAAGUGACAGCUCAGUUCUAAUAGAUGAGAAACCCCUUUGUACUGGAAGCACAACCAAAAACGCGUUUGAUGAGGAAGUGAAUCUAAGGCGCAGGGAAGACCUUUGCAAGAGCAGUUCCUUGAAAAUAAAGAAUGACGCAAGUUGUAUCCAAGAAGCAGAAUGCAACUGCGAAGGAAACAGCCUGCUGGCCAGCACAGAAAGCAAACUUAAAAUUACGGGUGAGCCUGACAGGGAAGCUGAACAGUUACAUGUAAAUGGUGAAGAAAAAGUAACCUCUCUCUGUCACAAUUCAAAAGUGCUUUACAAUGUGCCUGAUAGUAACACAGACAACAAAUGUGUGAUGAAACCAGAAGAGAAUUGCUCUAACGCCUGGGCUUUUUUUUCAAUUAAUUUAUCUACUGAGGAAUUGCAGCAGGGUUUUGAUACACAAGUUUCUCCUUCUUGGUCUGAGGAUAAGUUUGUAGGUGAACAAAGACAGAAAAAAGCGAGGAAACCCAAACAGAUGUGUACCAACAGUUCGACAGAGUUGAGCUGCCCUCAGUCCAGUGGGGGAUUGGUACAGGAAAACCACCAGGAAAUGGUGACUGAGAAGGGAGGUAAUGUGCAGAGCAAUGGCCUGUUGGCAUCUCCACCUGGUAAAGUGUGUGUGGGUUCACUUGUGGAACCCUGGAGCACCUCCAUGCACUGUGCAACUGAAGUAAAUGCUUCAAGAAGUGAUGCUGCACCAGUUGCACCAAAGAGAAAAAGGUACAGAAGAAUAGUCAACUUGGCACCCAAGUUUAAUCUGCCCAGAGAGAUUGCUGGUGGUAUGGAGGGAGGGAAGGAAGUCCUGCUAAAAGGUGACGGUCCCUCAGAAAGUGCUUUAGAAGUGGAGCAAAAGGGCCUUCUAUGCCAGGACCGUGGACUGGGACGUGAACAGAACCUUGCGUUUCAGGAGUAUGCUGCACCGUACAGUGGCCCUGAGGCACCCUAUUCCUUGCCCACCCCUGAUGUGGAUUCCCAUUUACGAGAUAUUUCAUAUUUUCAUGUGGGACAGUCUUCUCCAAUGCCAAAGUAUUCUUGUAGUGUUUGUGUGAUUUCCAGGACAAAGGAGGAGCGAGCCCGAACCCCGAGGCGACAGCAGGCAGUUGGUAACAAAGAGGGUGAGAGUGAACAAACCUCCUCAGAUGUCACCAGCAGCCAACCAGAUAUUUUGUCUUCUGUUAAAGUUGUUUCUGAACAUCCAGAAGAUUCGAGCACACUGGAAAGCUGUGUUGCAAAUGUGCACAAAACAGAUGGCCCUGAGCCGUCAAAGGCCUCUCCACCUGCAUUUAAACAGGACGUGAAUGCAAAAGCCAGCUUCCUGGGACUUCCCUUAUCCAUGGGAUUUGCUUUUCAACUUGUGCAGCUCUUUGGUUCUCCAGGUCUUCCGCUGGAAUCCUUGUUGCCAGAUGAUUAUAUAGUUCCUCUUGACUGGAAAGUUUCAAAGAUGAUCUAUUUACUGUGGAAGACCUCUGUGGAGGAGAAGCAGAAAACAAAUGGAUUGCAGAGUGGAAGUGCCUUGUCUGAUGAUAUUAUUACCCUUGAUGAUCUAAAUGAAAGUCACCACGAGAAUGAAGACUCUUCUGAAAUGCUUCCAGAAAUGCCUCCUGUGAUGAUGGAAGAGAACACCAUGACCUAUGCCAGCAGUGGCUGUUUGGGUGCUGUCCUCCAUCAGUCAUGACAGAACAUCUUAAUUAAAAAAAAAAGUCUGCGUGAAGGAAAAGGUAAUCAGUCACACCUGUAAAUGUGUUUUUAACUCUUGUAUUAGAUUUGUCCAAAUAUCUGAAGAACACACAUUGUUACAAUUGUUAAGGUGCAUUAAGCGUUACCCAAUUUACUUGUUUUUGGUUUCUUCAAAUUAGGAUUGAGGGUGGAUUUAUUUUGUUUGUUUGUUUUGAGUUUUUUUCUCUUUUUUUUUUUUGUGAGGUGGAGGGUUGUUGGCAUUUGUUGGUCUUAUUUUGUUUUUAAGCCUAAGUGGGAAAGAGUGGGCAGCACUUUGCUAUUAAAGCCACAUCCUUUUCCCCUCUCAAAAUCUAAAUUCUGCCUGGUGAAGUGAAAGCAGUGGUGUAGGAUGCUUAGCAGCUGCACUUUCACUUUGUUGCCAGCUUCAUUAUUGAGGUGAGCUGUUGUGAGUCAUGUCAUCUCCGUGCUAUAUUCCUGAUUCGUUCAGCAGUUGAGAGUAAACAUUCCAGAGUGCCCAGGUGGCCAAGAAGGCCAAUGGCAUCCUGGCUUGUAUCAGCAAUAGUACAGCCGGCAGCACCAGGGGCUGCAUCUCGAGUGCUGUGUUCAGUUUAUCACUCUCUACAACUGCCAGAUGCACAUGAGCAUCUACAUGACGCACCUUCACAGCCUGAAAGGAGGAUAUGGUGAGGUGGGGGUCGGCCUCUUCUCCCUUGUAACAGUGGUAGGAUGAGAGAGAAUGGCCUCAAGUUGUGCCAGGGGCUGUUCAGGUUGGAUAUUAUGAAGAAUUUCUUCUCUGAAAGAGCAGUGAGGCACUGGCACAGGCUGCCCAGUGAGGUGGUGGACACACCGUCCCUGGCGGUGUUCAAGAACCACAUGGAUGUGAUACUGGAGGACACAGUGGGCAUGGUGGGGAUGGACUGAUGGUUGGGUUUAGAUGAUCUUAGAAGUCUUUUCCAACCUUAAUGAUUCUGUGAUUCUAAGCAUUAUUGGCCAAGUGCUAUUUCAUUAUUAGUCAGAUUACCAUGCAUCUAAAUUGUUCCAUAAGGCUGUUUUUAUUGAAAUGAGAGUGGACAGUGUUUGUGUUUCUCUGAGAAAACACAAGGUUAAUCUCAAGUAGUGCUGAGAGCUCCUUAGGGCAGCGUUGGCAGCACAUCAGUAUUUGUUGUGGAGAUUAGGCAAGAGAUCCUGAUUUAAAAAAAAUAAAAUAAAAUGCUGAGAUCAGUGAAAACAGGGUAUUAUUUCAGUGCCUAAAAGCUCUUCUUAGACCAGGAACCCCCACUGCCAGAUGCCAAUAGAAUUGUAGGGCAAGCUGACAAAAACUGAUAGCAGUUUAAGCAUUUAUCUGCAUUUAUUAUUACAAAAUAAAGGCAUGUUUGUGUUUGAGGCAUAGCAGUCACUUGGCAGUAACUCCCUACAGGAACAUAUCUUCCAGGACAGCCCCACGGGGCGGUUGUUUGGGUCAGACAAAUCUCCUGAUGGCAUGCUAUCAGUCCUCCUUUCCCUGGCCAUGCUAUUGCUGGCGUCUCCCCUUGCUGGAUGCAGUGCUUCUGCAGCUUGAGUGAAGCCAUUCAGCUGGGUGAGCUCACCUGAACACACAUCUCGAAGGGAUCUGUCUGAACCCUCGUCAGGCUGAAAUUGUUAUCUGUGCAUUGCCUUGCAUCCACUGCAGACUUGCUUUGAUGUGCAGAGCUCUGCACUUGAGCUGAUGCUCCAGCUUCUCUGGGAGGGCUCUGCCCAGGAGAUGAGGCAGCAAAGAACCACCUGAGAGUGAGUGUGAGAUGACUGGCAGCCAGGUCAAAUUGGUGAUGGUGAAUGAGAAGUGACAGGAGGGGUGAAAUGCUGUCUCCAAAGCCUUGAUAUUAAAACUUCUGGCUUAUAUUUGAUGCAGGAGAUAAAGGAGUCGCAGGUGUGAUUGUGGCAAAAGCAAGGAUGUCCUUGGAACUGAGCAGGAAAGAGAAAUCUGAACAAGUUUCCCAGAUGUGGAUAAAAGGAAAAAAAGUAUAUUUAUACCUGGACAUUGAGAAUGGAUUUGUGACUCCGUUCCUCUUACUGUGAAAAAAAACUACUCACUUUGAUUCCACCGGGUAAGGACUUCAGUUUGCAGCCAAGGAUUUUAAAUGUAAGGAGCAACCUGGAAGAAAGUAACCAGUAUCGACUGCUGGUGUGAAUCUCUGGUUAUCUUUUUUUUUCCUCCCCCAGUAUGAACUUCUCUAUCCACAUAAUAAAAGUCAAAAUUGAGAA